GAUGAACGCUAGCGGCAGGCUUAACACAUGCAAGUCGAGGGGUAUAGUUCUUCGGAGCUAGAGACCGGCGCACGGGUGCGUAACGCGUAUGCAAUCUACCUUUUGCAGAGGGAUAGCCCAGAGAAAUUUGGAUUAAUACCUCAUAGUAUGUGAGAAUGGCAUCAUCUUCACAUUAAAGUCACAACGGCAAAAGAUGAGCAUGCGUCCCAUUAGCUUGUUGGUAAGGUAACGGCUUACCAAGGCAACGAUGGGUAGGGGUCCUGAGAGGGAGAUCCCCCGCACGGGUACGGAGACACGGACCAGACUCCUAGGGGAGGCGGCAGUGAGGAAUAUUGGACAAUGGGCGCAAGCCUGAUCCAGCCAUGCCGCGUGCAGGAUGACGGUCCUAUGGAUUGUAAACUGCUUUUGUACAGGAAGAAACACUGGUUCGUGAACCAGCUUGACGGUACUGUAAGAAUAAGGAUCGGCUAACUCCGUGCCAGCAGCCGCCGUAAAAC
rnacentral:rRNA from 1 species